rnacentral:tRNA from 1 species
GAAAUAUAAAAAAUUAAGCUUCUAACUUAACUUCUAGUAGUAUUACAACUAUUAAUAUUUCU